ACUGCAGGGUUGAGCCGAGAAAGACGUGUUGUGUGGAAGUUCUCUGGUUUUCGAAACGGUCAGCUGAGCAGAAGUCGGAAAGUAUGCAAAGGAAGCACCUGUUGUUGUGUUUCUUAGUAGUUGUGGACGCCGCCAUGAGAAAUACUCGUCGCCGAUCAUGCGAGGGACUGGAAACGCCAUGCCCGCCUAACCAACGACCUAAUUGUCUGAUAAAAAAUAACGGGGCUCGCUACUUCGAAUGCUCCUUGAAGGACAGACCUUGUGAAUACUCGUGGUCUAUUAUUUGCGCAAAUUUUAUUUCCAUAGUUUGCGCUACUAGCCGGACCUACUGUGAUUGCCGUUGUGAUGUUCCCUCCAGCAAUAAGCGAAAAUGUCAUCAGCGUCGAAAGCCAUCAUGAUAUCUAGGACCCUAUCAACGUCUCAAGAGCUCUUGCGUGGUGCCGCCUGCUCUUGGUGCGCUG